UCUACCAAGAAAAGUGCACUUGUUAUUAGUGAGAAUAUACUUAUUUUAAGCUAUUUUGGGGUUAAUUGAGGUUAGCUAAUUAGGGACCCCUUUGGGACAGAGGACCCUAUUGUAUUUGUAGCGUUUUAUUAUUAUACCCCCUUAACAUGCUUCAAAACUCACCAAAUUGGACACACACAUCAGGACUGGCGAAAAUUGCGCUCUAGCGCCCCCUAGGAAGAAAACACAGACAAACAAACAAAAACCUCUAUGUAGGUCUCACUUAGACCUAUAUUUCAUAUACUGACAACACCUGGCAAAAAUCAACAGGAAGUUUGCAAUUCCCCCUUCAAAACAAAAGUUGUGUAAAAACAGUCACCUUUUUUCAAACAUUAUCUCCUCUGAGCGCGUUUGUCGUGUCGGCUUCAAACUAGCACAGGAGAGAGAUUGAACCCUUCUGAUUAAAAGUUGACAAACGAGUUUUAAUUACUGCUCCGGUUUGGAUUUUAUGAGCCUUCAAAGUCGGUCCCGUCCAUCACUGCUUGCAGCUUUAAUUAGGGUCCGCCCUGUACCCUGUACAAAGGAACAUAUUGUUAUUGUAAGGUUUUAUUAUUCUUUCUUUAUUCUUCCGCAGCUUGGCGCACUACUUUGCCCCCCUUAACAUGCUUCAAAACUCACCAAAUUUUUUACACACAUAAAAAACCGCGAACAAAACUCUUUAGUAAAAAAAACAAACCCCAAAAAUCAAAACUGCGCUCUAGCGCCCCCUAGGAAGUAAACUGCCUCUAACUCCCACUAGGAAGGCCGUAGAGACAUGAAACAAAAACCUCUAUGUAGGUCUCACUUAGACCUACUUUUCACAAUUUUAACAUCCUCGGGUAAAAAUCAACAAGACAAAAAAUUACUAAAAACACUAAUUUUUGCCUCUUUGAGCUGUAAUUUCAAUCCCUUAAAAUACUUCAAAACUCACCAAACUUUUCACACACAUCGGGACUGGUGGAAAUUGCGAUCUAAAAAAAAACCUAACCCCAAAACUCAAAAUUGUGCUCUAGCGCAAUUUUUGAAUAAAACAGAGACAAAACUGCUCCUCAGAGGAAAACUCUGACAAAACUGCUUGUAACUUCCGGUAGGAACGUCUUAGAGACAUGAAACAAAUACCUCUAUGUAGGUCACACCUAGACCUACAUUUUAUAGAUUGACAUCCUUCAGCAAAAAUCAACAGGAAGUUUGCAAUCCCUCCUUCAAAACAAAAUUUUUGUUAAAACCGGUCACCAAACAUCAAACAUUAUCUCCUCUGAGCGCGUUUGUCGUUUCGGCUUCAAACUGCUACAGGAGAGAGAUUGAACCCUUCUGAUUAAAAGUUGACGACGGCGUUUCGUUAAGAGCUACCGUUUAGAUUUUACGUGCCUUCAAAGACCCGCAGCACUAAAGCUGCACAGUCUUCAAAGAAAACAACCACUGUGCCGCAACACCUAGGAAAAAAACACAGACACAACUUCCUCUAACUCCCAGUACGAAUAUCGUAGAGACACGAAACAAAAACCUCUAUGUAGGUCUCACUCAGGACUACCACUGGACAAAAGUAUUGGGACGCCUAGGACUAGCACCUGCCAAAAUGCGGACCCGACCAACGCUGCUUGCAGCUUUAAUUAUUAUUAUUCUUUAUUAUUAUUAUUCUUCCGCAGCUUGGCGCACUACUUUGCCCCCCUUAACAUGCUUCAAAACUCACCAAAAUUUACACAUACAUACAAAAACUGGGACAGCACACUUUAGGCAAAAAAACCAAACCCCAAAAAUCAAAAUUGCGCUCUAGCGCCCCCUAGGAAAAAACAAAAACAAACUGCGUGUAAUUCCCACUAGGAAGGUCGUAGAGACAUGAAACAAAAACCUGUAUGUAGGUCUCACUUAGACAGGCAAAAACCAACAGGAAGUUGGCAAUUUCCCCUUCAAGACAAAAAAUGACUAAAAACACUAAUUUUUGCGUUUUUGAGCUGUAAUUUGACCCCCUUAAAAAACUUCAAAACGAACCCCAAAAAUCAAACUUGCGCUCUAGCGCCCCCUAGGAAAAAACAAAAACAAACUGCGUGUAACUCCCACUAGGAAGGUCGUAGAGACAUGAAACAAAAACCUGUAUGUAGGUCUCACUUAGACCUACAAUUCAUAAUGACACAUCUUCGGGCAAAAACCAACAGGAAGUUGGCAAUUUCCCCUUCAAGACAAAAAAUGACUAAAAACACUCAUUUUUGCGUUUUUUGAGCUGUAAUUUGACCCCCUUAAAAUACUUCAAAACUCACCAAACUUUUCACACACAUCGGGACUGGUGGAUAUUGCGAUCUAAAAAAAAAAAAACGAACCCCAAAACUCAAAAUUGCGCUCUAGUUUUACUUGUUUUGGAAAGUCUCGACAUGCCAAAUUUUCUUGUUCUAUUGGCAGAUAAUUUGGCUUAGUUCAAAUAAAAUACCCCUCAUUUUUGUAUUAUUUUUUCUUGUUUUUGAACACUGACUUUUUGCAGUGAGAAGAAUGAUCUUAAUCAGGCAGAAAAUAAGCAAAUAUCAGCCUUAUUUGAGAUAUUUCAUCUUACUUAAGAUUUUUUGCAGUGUAGAUUGAUGCAGUUUCUUUAAGAUUGGUGCUCCCAACCUAAGUUAUUAAUAUUUAAGAAGUAUUUUUGCCACUUUAAAUGAUAAUGAUAAAUGGGUUAUACUUGUAUAGCGCUUUUCUACCUUCAAGGUACUCAAAGCGCUUUGACACUAUUUCCACAUUUACCCAUUCACACACACAUUCACACACUGAUGGCGGGAGCUGCCAUGCAAGGCGCUAACCAGCAGCCAUCAGAGGCAAAGGGUGAAGUGUCUUGCCCAAGGACACAACGGACGUGACUAGGAAGGUAGAAGGUGGGAAUUGAACCCCAGUAACCAGCAACACUCCGAUUGCUGGCACAGCCACUCUACCAACUUCGCCACGCCGUCCUUUAAUGUUUUAUUCCAAAGUAAAAUCAAUAUAACUUAGGUUAUGGAUGUUCUCUAGAGUCGAACCAUAUUCUAUAUGUGGAAACAUUUCAUUAACGGUGCUUUGGUACUUUCUUUUUUCUCCAAUUUUUGUUGUAAUAUUUCAGUAUGUGUGAUAAGAGUUUGCAUGAAAGACUACCAUACAGUACAGUACAGUACAGUACCAGACGGGCUCAUGUUCCACACACAAAGGCUGUUUAAUUCUUUGUAUCACUCUUUGUGUGACAUGGUCUAACUUGUUCAGGUUUGCCUCUCCAGCUCAGUGCAAAAACAAAACUAUUGUCCUUUUUUCCUUUUGUAUCAUUGUAAAUAUUGUGGUCAUGAACUCAGAAGUGCUUUACUGCUGCUAGUAGAAAGAGUGUUAAAGCCUUAAAAAUGUACAUUUUGUGAAUACUGUCGUGUUGCGGUCCUUUAAAGUGACAGUGUCGCCAUCGGAUGUAGCAUACUUGAACGUACAAGCGGCUCCGCUCUUUUGUUAUCCUCGACUAACUCCAAAAUCUGUCAGCUCCCGUAGAAAUGUGCAAAAACAGAAUACAAAUAUUAGGGCCCACCUCAAGGAAAUAACUCAGGAAGAGUCAUUGAAGUCACGCUCGGAGCCUUUUUCUUUGUUUCGUGUCGUACUUGCACAGUGUUUUCCGUACAUUAGGAGUACUUUGAGGUAGAUGAUGUCAUCCCUUUCUGCUUUUCCCUUCCGAGUUGCCUUCGCCAAUGACGGCGUGUCGUUGUUGUUGUUUAUUCACGCGGCAUAUACCAAAUUGUGCUCUGAUGCUGUCACUCUAAAGGAGCUGGUGGUCGUAGAGAAGGAAAAGAAUGCAGUUUUCCCUCGUCUUACAUUCCCCCUUUUUUUGUUGGUCCAAAGGUUGUUUACUCGUGUGUGAAUAAUUCUCAUAAGCAGUGCCAUUUGUGUUGAGAUUAUGUUUAUAGACCUAGGCCUUGUUGGAAGUGUGUGUGUGUGUGUGUGUGUGUGUGUGUGUGUGUGUGUGUGUGUGUGUGUGUGUGUGUGUGUGUGUGUGUGUGUGUGUGUGUGUGUGUGUGUGUGUGUGUGUGUGUGUGUGUGUGUGUGUGUGUGUGUGUGUGUGUGUGUGUGUGUGUGUUGUAUUUCUACCCUUCUUGAGACGUCAACAAGGAAAAGUAUCUUCCAUAGGAGAAGGAGAAGUGAUGACAUAAAUCAUGCUCCCAAUAACAUUGCAUCUAAUAGAGAAUGUCUGGUCAACAUAUGAAAUAACAAGUGUGUGUAAGGAAUUUAAAUGCGCCCUGUUUCGCCAAAAUGAAUUAAAUAAUUUUUUUAUAAAUAUGUAUAUAGAGACAUACUGUAAUUGUGAAUUAAGUAAUAACUUGAAGUAAAUAAUAAAAAUUAAAAACCAAUUAGAAACAAAAAAUUAAGCUUACCUAUUUUAUAUUUGCACAAUAUGUAUAUAUUAUUGAUGUAAAAAUGUGUAGUACUCCCCCUCUGGUCAACAAAUGAAAUAACAAGUGUGUAAGGAAUUGAAAUGCGCCCCGUUUGGCCAAAAUUAAUUGAAUUUUUUUUUUUUUAUAAAUAUGUAUAUAGAGACAUACUGUAAUAACUUGAAGUAAAUAAUGAAAAUUGAAAACCAAUUAGAAACAAAAAAUUCAUUAAAAAAAACUAAAAGCUUACCUAUUUUAUAUUUGCACAAUAUGUAUAUAUUAUUGAUGUAAAAAUUUCAAGUGCUCCCCCUCUGGUCAACAAAUGAAAUAACAAGUGUGUAAGAAAUUGAAAUGCGCCCCGUUUGGCCAGAAUUGAAAUAUUUUUUUUAUAAAUAUGUAUAUAGAGACAUACUGUAAUAACUUGAAGUAAAUAAUGAAAAUGAAAAACCAAUUACAAACAAAAAAUUCAUUAAAAAAACCUAAAAGCUUACCUAUUUUAUAUUUGCAUAAUAUGUAUAUAUUAUUGAUGUAAAAAUUUCAAGUGCUCCCCCUCUGGUCAACAAAUGAAAUAACAAGUGUGUAAGAAAUUGAAAUGCGCCCCGUUUGGCCAAAAUUAAUUGAAAUUGUUUUUUUUUAUAAAUAUGUAUAUAGAGACAUACUGUAAUAACUUGAAGUAAAUAAUGAAAAUUAAAAACCAAUUAGAAACAAAAAAUUCAUUAAAAAAAACUAAAAGCUUACCUAUUUUAUAUUUGCACAAUAUGUAUAUAUUAUUGAUGUAAAAAUUUGAAGUGCUCCCCCCUCUGGUCAACAUAUGAAAUAACAGGUGUGUGUAAGAAAUUGAAAUGCGCCCCGUUUGGCCAAAAUUUUAAUAUUUUUUUUAUAAAUAUGUAUAUAGGGACAUACUGUAAUAACUUGAAGUAAAUAAUGAAAAUUAAAAGCCAAUUACAAACAAAAAAUUCAUUAAAAAAAACUAAAAGCUUACCUUUUUUAUAUUUGCAUGGUUUGUAUAUAUUAUUAAUGUAAAAAUUUGAAGUGCUCCCCCUCUGGUCAACAUAUGAAAUAACUGAGUGAGUAAGAAAUUGAAAUGUGCCCCCUUUGGCCAAAAUUAAUUUAAAAAAUAAAAGUUUUAUAAAUAUGUAUAUAGAGACAUACUGUAAUAACUUGAAGUAAAUAAUGAAAAUUUAAAAACCAAUUCCAAACAAAAAAUUCAACAAAAAUAAUUAAACGCUUACCUAUUUUAUGUGCACAGUAUGUAUAUAUUAUUAAUGUUGUGAAUACAAAUCUUUAUAUACUGUAUCUAGAAGGGGUGGUCCCAAAAAGGAGGGAUUUUUCAAAUUGACUGUGUGUCGCUUUUAAAAGUGCUCCCCCACUGGCCAAAAUUAAUUUAAAAAAGUAAAUAAAUAUGUAUAUAAAGACAUACUGUAAUAACUUAAGUAAAUAAUGAAAAUUAAAAAACAAUUCCAAACAAAAAAUAAUACAAAAACUAAAAGCUUACCUUUUUUAUAUUUGCAUAGUAUGUAUAUAUUAUUAAUGUUGUAAAUACACAUCUUUAUAUAUCUACAAAGGUGGUCCUAAAGAGGGAGGCAUUUUUCAGAGGUCUCAAGAAGGUAACAAAUACAAGAGUGUGUGCGUGUGUGUGCGUGUGCGUGUGUGUGUGUGUUGCUUCCUACUGUUUCCGGAUGUUUAGCUUUCUGCAAGGAGGCAGCCAUGUCCACUUGUUGGCCACAAGAGGGCGCUGUGUCAAAAGAAAAAUGACAACCAUUAACUUUUUCCAUGGAUUUUAAAGCUCAUAUCAAUGUGGAGGAAUGCACAGUGCUGGUAAUAAAACAUGUACGAAGCUGA